rnacentral:rRNA from 1 species
AGUGAACGCUGGCGGUAGGCCUAACACAUGCAAGUCGAACGGCAGCACAGGAGAGCUUGCUCUCUGGGUGGCGAGUGGCGGACGGGUGAGGAAUGCAUCGGAAUCUACUCUUUCGUGGGGGAUAACGUAGGGAAACUUACGCUAAUACCGCAUACGACCUACGGGUGAAAGCCGGGGACCUUCGGGCCUGGCGCGAAAGAAUGAGCCGAUGCCCGAUUAGCUAGUUGGCGGGGUAAGAGCCCACCAAGGCGACGAUCGGUAGCUGGUCUGAGAGGAUGAUCAGCCACACUGGAACUGAGACACGGUCCAGACUCCUACGGGAGGCAGCAGUGGGGAAUAUUGGACAAUGGGCGCAAGCCUGAUCCAGCCAUACCGCGUGGGUGAAGAAGGCCUUCGGGUUGUAAAGCCCUUUUGUUGGGAAAGAAAAGCAGUCGGUUAAUACCCGAUUGUUCUGACGGUACCCAAGAAUAAGCACCG